GAGUUUGAACCUGGCUCAGGACGAACGCUGGCGGCGUGCCUAAUACAUGCGAGUCGAGCGAGCUUGCCUAGAUGAUUUUAGUGCUUGCACUAAAUGAAACUAGAUACAAGCGAGCGGCGGACGGGUGAGUAACACGUGGGUAACCUGCCCAAGAGACUGGGAUAACACCUGGAAACAGAUGCUAAUACCGGAUAACAACACUAGACGCAUGUCUAGAGUUUGAAAGAUGGUUCUGCUAUCACUCUUGGAUGGACCUGCGGUGCAUUAGCUAGUUGGUAAGGUAACGGCUUACCAAGGCAAUGAUGCAUAGCCGAGUUGAGAGACUGAUCGGCCACAUUGGGACUGAGACACGGCCCAAACUCCUACGGGAGGCAGCAGUAGGGAAUCUUCCACAAUGGACGAAAGUCUGAUGGAGCAACGCCGCGUGAGUGAAGAAGGGUUUCGGCUCGUAAAGCUCUGUUGGUAGUGAAGAAAGAUAGAGGUAGUAACUGGCCU
rnacentral:rRNA from 1 species